AUUUGAAAUAUCAAUAUACUUAGUAUUAUAAAGAAAAGUUUUUUUUAAGUGAUAGUUUAUUAGUACUGUGAAGGGUUAUUUGAAAUAUAAGAAAUAUAAUUUUAUUUAAGUAGAUUUUAUUUAUUGUACCUUUUGUAUCAGGGUUAAUCUAAAUUUUUGAAUUUAUUUUUAUGUCCCGAUUUUAAAAGAGCUAAAUUGAAAAUUUACUUAAUGUGGAAUAAUUAUUGGUAAUUUCAAUUUGGUUGGGAUAUCCAAUUCGUUUUUAAAGGUAUCUGGUUUCUUAAUAAAUAAAUUUAAUUUAGCCUUUUAAUUUAAAGAUUUUAUUUUUGAAAUUUUUAUAUUAGGAGUUUAAUAUUAUAGGGGAUAAGCUCUGUAUUAUUUCUAUAAUUUGUAUUUAUUUUGUUUUAUGUAGGGUUGAAAUUAUCCAUCAUUAUAAAGUGUGUUAUAAUUUAAAUUAUUUUUAUUAUGAUUUUUAUAAAUUUAGUAUUUUAUUAAGAUAAGUUAAUGAAUUUUUUAUUAGAUGUAAUAAUGAUUGAAUUAGUAUAUUUUUAUUGUUUGUUAUUUAUUAAAAUGUAAGUAUAGAUUAAGGAACUCGGCAAAUGUAAAUUCUCGCCUGUUUAUCAAAAACAUGUCCUCUUGUUAUAUUAUGAGAGGUCUGACCUGCCCAGUGAUUUAUUUUAACGGCCGCGGUAUUCUGACCGUGCAAAGGUAGCAUAAUCAUUAGUCUUUUAAAAGGAGGCUAGAAUGAAGGGUUUGACGAAGAAUUAACUGUCUCAUUUUAUUUGAUUAUAAAAUUUAACUUUUUAGUCAAAAGGCUAAAAUCUAAUUGGUAGACGAGAAGACCCUAUAGAGCUUUAUAUAAUUUGAUAAUAACAAUAAUAUAUUAAUAUUGCUUAUAUUAAAUUAAUAUUUUGUUGGGGUGACAAAAAUAUAUAAUUAACUUUUUUAUUUUUAUUACAUUGAUUUAUGUAUAAUAGAUCCAUUAUUAUUGAUUGAUAGAUUAAGUUACCUUAGGGAUAACAGCGUAAUCCUCUUUCAGAGUUCAUAUUUACGGGAGGGCUUGCGACCUCGAUGUUGGAUUAAGAUAAUAUUUUGGUGUAGCUGCUAAAUUAAUAGGUCUGUUCGACCUUUAAAUUCUUACAUGAUCUGAGUUCAGACCGGUUUAAGCCAGGUCGGUUUCUAUCUCCAAUAUUAUUUUUGUUCUUAGUACGAAAGGACCAGAACUGGGAAAUAAUUUCUUUUUAUUGAUUGACAUUAAUUACUUUGGCAGAAAAGUGCCAUAGAUUUAGAAU
rnacentral:rRNA from 1 species